AGUAAGCUAUGUGAGGUCGAUGGCGAUGCUUAAAAAGCAAUCGACUUACAAGGGUGUAAAAAAUGGGCUCGAUAUUAAAUCGAGAAAAACAUGAUUUUUAUAGUUUAAAAAUGGUUUUGAAUUAAAGUACAACAACUUUACAUUAUUAACAAAAUGAACAUAUGAGUGUAAUAAAGGCAUAGACAUAAAAAGAAACUAAAAUGCUAAAAGAAAAAAUAAUAUAGCUAAAAGAAAUAAAAUGCCAAAAAAAGCCACACAUGAGUAUUGAACCCACCCCACUCAAGAAUAUACACACUGCCCUUCUCCACCAGACCACUCACCAUUAUCUGCUACUGAAAUACUACGUUAAAUAUAUGAACCGGGCAAAAAAAAUAAAGAGAUUUAAAAUAAAAAACAAAAUAAACAUUUUUAUGGUUUUUGUGUUAAAAACAAAAUAAAUUAAAUAAUAAAAGAAAAAUUAAAAAAAGAAAAAAAGAAAAUGGAAACACAGAGGUUCGUCUUCAUAAAUAAAAGAAAAAUUAAAAAAAGAAAAAAAGAAAAUGGAAACACAGAGGUUCGUCUUCAUCGCCAUCGUCCUCCCCACCUCACGAACUCAACCUUCCCAAACUCACUCCUUCACUCUCUCUUCUCU
rnacentral:lncRNA from 1 species